rnacentral:rRNA from 1 species
GAUGAACGCUGGCGGCGUGCCUAAUACAUGCAAGUCGAGCGAACAGACGAGGAUCUUGCUGCACUGACGUUAGCGGCGGACGGGUGAGUAACACGUGGAUAACCUCCCUAUAAGACUGGGAUAACUUCGUAAAACCUGAGCUAAUACCGGAUAAUAUAUUAAGCCGCAUGGUUCAAUAAUACAAGCCAGUUUUGCUGUCACUUAUAAAUGGAUCCGCGCCGCAUUAGCUAGUUGGUAAGGUAACGGCUUACCAAGGCAACGAUGCGUAGCCGACCUGAGAGGGUGAUCGGCCACACUGGAACUGAGACACGGUCCAGACUCCUACGGGAGGCAGCAGUAGGGAAUCUUCCGCAAUGGGCGAAAGCUUGACGGAGCAACGCCGCGUGAGUGAUGAAGGUCUUCGGAUCGUAAAACUCUGUUAUUAGGGAAGAACAAAUGUGUAAGUAACUAUGCACGUCUUGACGGUACCUAAUCAGAAAGCCACGGCUAACUACGUG